CCUACGGGUGGCAGCAGUAGGGAAUUUUGCGCAAUGGGCGAAAGCCUGACGCAGCAACGCCGCGUGAUCGCGACGCCCUUCGGGGUGUAAAGAUCUGUCAGUGGGGACGAAACUUGACGGUACCCACAGAGGAAGCACCGGCUAACUCCGUGCCAGCAGCCGCGGUAAUACGGGGGGUGCAAGCGUUGUCCGGAAUCAUUGGGCGUAAAGAGUUCGUAGGCUGUUUCGUAAGUCUGGUGUGAAAGGCGCGGGCUCAACCCGCGGACGGCACAUGAUACGGGGAGACUAGAGUAAUGGAGGGGGAACCGGAAUUCUUGGUGUAGCAGUGAAAUGCGUAGAUAUCGGGAGGAACACUCGUGGCGAAGGCGGGUUCCUGGACAUUAACUGACGCUGAGGCACGAAGGCCAGGGGAGCGAAAGGGAUUAGAUACCCUUGUAGUC
rnacentral:rRNA from 1 species